AUAUCUAGCUAGAAGUAGUUAGAUACUCAUACGAUACCUAGGUAGAGUAGUACUCCUACGAUACACC
rnacentral:tRNA from 1 species